rnacentral:rRNA from 1 species
AGAGUUUGAUCAUGGCUCAGAUUGAACGCUGGCGGCAGGCCUAACACAUGCAAGUCGAGCGGUAGCACAGAGAGCUUGCUCUCGGGUGACGAGCGGCGGACGGGUGAGUAAUGUCUGGGAAACUGCCUGAUGGAGGGGGAUAACUACUGGAAACGGUAGCUAAUACCGCAUAACGUCGCAAGACCAAAGUGGGGGACCUUCGGGCCUCAUGCCAUCAGAUGUGCCCAGAUGGGAUUAGCUAGUAGGUGGGGUAACGGCUCACCUAGGCGACGAUCCCUAGCUGGUCUGAGAGGAUGACCAGCCACACUGGAACUGAGACACGGUCCAGACUCCUACGGGAGGCAGCAGUGGGGAAUAUUGCACAAUGGGCGCAAGCCUGAUGCAGCCAUGCCGCGUGUGUGAAGAAGGCCUUCGGGUUGUAAAGCACUUUCAGCGGGGAGGAAGGCGAUAAGGUUAAUAACCUCAUCGAUUGACGUUACCCGCAGAAGAAGCACCGGCUAACUCCGUGCCAGCAGCCGCGGUAAUACGGAGGGUGCAAGCGUUAAUCGGAAUUACUGGGCGUAAAGCGCACGCAGGCGGUCUGUCAAGUCGGAUGUGAAAUCCCCGGGCUCAACCUGGGAACUGCAUUCGAAACUGGCAGGCUAGAGUCUUGUAGAGGGGGGUAGAAUUCCAGGUGUAGCGGUGAAAUGCGUAGAGAUCUGGAGGAAUACCGGUGGCGAAGGCGGCCCCCUGGACAAAGACUGACGCUCAGGUGCGAAAGCGUGGGGAGCAAACAGGAUUAGAUACCCUGGUAGUCCACGCCGUAAACGAUGUCGAUUUGGAGGUUGUGCCCUUGAGGCGUGGCUUCCGGAGCUAACGCGUUAAAUCGACCGCCUGGGGAGUACGGCCGCAAGGUUAAAACUCAAAUGAAUUGACGGGGGCCCGCACAAGCGGUGGAGCAUGUGGUUUAAUUCGAUGCAACGCGAAGAACCUUACCUGGUCUUGACAUCCACAGAACUUAGCAGAGAUGCUUUGGUGCCUUCGGGAACUGUGAGACAGGUGCUGCAUGGCUGUCGUCAGCUCGUGUUGUGAAAUGUUGGGUUAAGUCCCGCAACGAGCGCAACCCUUAUCCUUUGUUGCCAGCGGUCCGGCCGGGAACUCAAAGGAGACUGCCAGUGAUAAACUGGAGGAAGGUGGGGAUGACGUCAAGUCAUCAUGGCCCUUACGACCAGGGCUACACACGUGCUACAAUGGCAUAUACAAAGAGAAGCGACCUCGCGAGAGCAAGCGGACCUCAUAAAGUAUGUCGUAGUCCGGAUUGGAGUCUGCAACUCGACUCCAUGAAGUCGGAAUCGCUAGUAAUCGUAGAUCAGAAUGCUACGGUGAAUACGUUCCCGGGCCUUGUACACACCGCCCGUCACACCAUGGGAGUGGGUUGCAAAAGAAGUAGGUAGCUUAACCUUCGGGAGGGCGCUUACCACUUUGUGAUUCAUGACUGGGGUGAAGUCGUAACAAGGUAACCGUAGGGGAACCUGCGGUUGGAUCACCU